AGUGAACGCUGGCGGUAGGCCUAACACAUGCAAGUCGAACGGUAGCACAGUAAGAGCUUGCUCUUACGGGUGGCGAGUGGCGGACGGGUGAGGAAUACAUCGGAAUCUACUUUUUCGUGGGGGAUAACGUAGGGAAACUUACGCUAAUACCGCAUACGACCUACGGGUGAAAGCAGGGGAUCUUCGGACCUUGCGCGAUUGAAUGAGCCGAUGUCGGAUUAGCUAGUUGGCGGGGUAAAGGCCCACCAAGGCGACGAUCCGUAGCUGGUCUGAGAGGAUGAUCAGCCACACUGGAACUGAGACACGGUCCAGACUCCUACGGGAGGCAGCAGUGGGGAAUAUUGGACAAUGGGCGCAAGCCUGAUCCAGCCAUACCGCGUGGGUGAAGAGGGCCUUCGGGUUGUAAAGCCCUUUUGUUGGGAAAGAAAAGCAGCAGGUUAAUACCCCGCUGUUCUGACGGUACCCAAAGAAUAAGCACCGGCUAACUUCGUG
rnacentral:rRNA from 1 species